rnacentral:rRNA from 1 species
GAUCCUGGCUCAGGAUGAACGCUAGCUACAGGCUUAACACAUGCAAGUCGAGGGGCAGCAUGGUCUUAGCUUGCUAAGGCCGAUGGCGACCGGCGCACGGGUGAGUAACACGUAUCCAACCUGCCGUCUACUCUUGGACUUUAGCCUUCUGAAAGGAAGAUUAAUACAAGAUGGCAUCAUGAGUCCACAUGUUCACAUGAUUAAAGGUAUUCCGGUAGACGAUGGGGA